CCCCGUGAACUUAAGCAUAUCAAUAAGCGGAGGAAAAGAAACCAACCAGGGAUUGCCUCAGUAACGGCGAGUGAAGCGGCAAAAGCUCAAAUUUGAAAUUCCUCCGGGAAUUGUAAUUUGAAGGUGGGGUUGAAUAGGUCUAGAUACUUUUAAGUCCAUUGGAAAAUGGCGCCAUGGAGGGUGAUAGCCCCGUAAAAGUAUUAACGCCUUCUUUUCUUCCCCUCCUAAGAGUCGAGUUGUUUGGGAAUGCAGCUCUAAGUGGGUGGUAAAUUCCAUCUAAAGCUAAAUAUUGGCGAGAGACCGAUAGCGAACAAGUACAGUGAUGGAAAGAUGAAAAGCACUUUGAAAAGAGAGUGAAAAAGUACGUGAAAUUGUUGAAAGGGAAGGGCUUGCAAGCAGACACAACCUCGGUUGGGCCAGCAUCGGAGUGGGGGGAGACAAAAAAGGCUAGGAAUGUAGCUCCCUUAGAGUAUUAUAUCCUGGCCCCAUAUCUCCACCCCCUUCCGAGGCCUGC
rnacentral:rRNA from 1 species